UCGGAUAUGGUGUAAUGGCUAACAUUACCGCCUCUCACUGAACGCAGCGUUCGCGGUAGCUCGGGGUUCGAUUCCCCGUAUCCGAA